rnacentral:rRNA from 1 species
CACGUAGGGGGCAAGCGUUGUCCGGAUUUAUGGGGCGUAAAGAGCUCGUAGGCGGUUCGGUAAGUUGGGUGUGAAACCUCCAGGCUCAACCUGGAGACGCCACCCGAUACUGCUGUGACUAGAGUCCGGUAGGGGAGCGUGGAAUUCCUGGUGUAGCGGUGAAAUGCGCAGAUAUCAGGAGGAACACCAGCGGCGAAGGCGGCGCUCUGGGCCGGAACUGACGCUGAGGAGCGAAAGCGUGGGUAGCAAACAGG